rnacentral:rRNA from 1 species
UGCCAGCCGCCGCGGUAAUACGAAGGGGGCUAGCGUUGUUCGGAAUUACUGGGCGUAAAGCGCAUGCAGGCGGAUCGCUAAGUCAGGGGUGAAAGCCCGAGGCUCAACCUCGGAACUGCCUUUGAUACUGGCGAUCUCGAGUCCGGGAGAGGUGAGUGGAACUCCGAGUGUAGAGGUGAAAUUCGUAGAUAUUCGGAAGAACACCAGUGGCGAAGGCGGCUCACUGGCCCGGUACUGACGCUGAGAUGCGAAAGCGUGGGGAGCAAACAGGAUUAGAUA